rnacentral:rRNA from 1 species
GAAAUGGGUACAACCUUCACUAGAGAGUAAGACUUUACAACACCAUAGUAGGCCUAAAAGCAGCCAUCAAUUAAGAAAGCGUUAAAGCUCAACAAUAAAAAUAAAAUUAAUCCCAACAAUAAUACAGCUAACUCCUAGACCUAAUACUGGACUAUUCUAUUAUUAAAUAGAAGCAAUAAUGUUAAUAUGAGUAACAAGAAAUAUUUUCUCCUUGCACAAGUUUAAGUCAGUAUCUGAUAAUAUUCUGACUGUUAACAGUAAAUAAAAACAACCCAACGAUAAAUAAUUUAUUAAUUGUACUGUUAACCCAACACAGGAGUGCACCCAGGAAAGAUUAAAAGAAGUAAAAGGAACUCGGCAAACACAAACCCCGCCUGUUUACCAAAAACAUCACCUCCAGCAUUUCCAGUAUUGGAGGCACUGCCUGCCCAGUGACUAAACGUUAAACGGCCGCGGUAUCCUGACCGUGCAAAGGUAGCAUAAUCAUUUGUUCUCUAAAUAAGGACUUGUAUGAACGGCCACACGAGGGUUUUACUGUCUCUUACUUCCAAUCAGUGAAAUUGACCUCCCCGUGAAGAGGCGGGAAUGAAUCAACAAGACGAGAAGACCCUAUGGAGC